rnacentral:rRNA from 1 species
GAUGAACGCUGGCGGCGUGCCUAAUACAUGCAAGUCGAGCGAACAGAUGAGGAGCUUGCUCCUCUGACGUUAGCGGCGGACGGGUGAGUAACACGUGGAAAACCUACCUAUAAGACUGGGAUAACUUCGGGAAACCGGAGCUAAUACCGGAUAAUAUAUUGAACCGCAUGGUUCAAUAGUGAAAGACGGUUUUGCUGUCACUUAUAGAUGGAUCCGCGCCGCAUUAGCUAGUUGGUAAGGUAACGGCUUACCAAGGCGACGAUGCGUAGCCGACCUGAGAGGGUGAUCGGCCACACUGGAACUGAGACACGGUCCAGACUCCUACGGGAGGCAGCAGUAGGGAAUCUUCCGCAAUGGGCGAAAGCCUGACGGAGCAACGCCGCGUGAGUGAUGAAGGUCUUCGGAUCGUAAAACUCUGUUAUUAGGGAAGAACAAAUGUGUAAGUAACUAUGCACGUCUUGACGGUACCUAAUCAGAAAGCCACGGCUAACUACGUG